AUGUUCAUGGAUCCGGGACGGCGGAUCCGGUACACUCCGACGCUCGGCGGGGACUACCCCGAGGACAGCGCCGGCUGGGGCGAGUUCUGGUUCAGGGGGAGGUCCGUGUUCCGUCUGAGGGACCAGCUGGUGAUGCGCACCAGCAUCAACCUGUACUACCAGAACGUCGCCAUCUGCGUCCGAGCGGGCCGCUACGGGAGGCUGACCCCGCUCGUCGUCGACCUGCCCCACGGCGGCUACGGCGAGACCCUCGAGAUUGUCAUCCUCGAGGACGAGACUCGUGCCUACGAUGAUCUGCGACACCCAGACGUCGACGCGGAGUAG
rnacentral:rRNA from 1 species